rnacentral:rRNA from 1 species
GACGAACGCUGGCGGCGUGCCUAAUACAUGCAAGUAGAACGCUGAAGGAGGAGCUUGCUUCUCUGGAUGAGUUGCGAACGGGUGAGUAACGCGUAGGUAACCUGCCUGGUAGCGGGGGAUAACUAUUGGAAACGAUAGCUAAUACCGCAUAAGAUUGACUAUUGCAUGAUAGUCAGUUAAAAGGUGCAAUUGCAUCACUACCAGAUGGACCUGCGUUGUAUUAGCUAGUUGGUGGGGUAACGGCUCACCAAGGCGACGAUACAUAGCCGACCUGAGAGGGGGAUCGGCCACACUGGGACUGAGACACGGCCCAGACUCCUACGGGAGGCAGCAGUAGGGAAUCUUCGGCAAUGGACGGAAGUCUGACCGAGCAACGCCGCGUGAGUGAAGAAGGUUUUCGGAUCGUAAAGCUCUGUUGUAAGAGAAGAACGAGUGUGAGAGUGGAAAGUUCACACUGUGACGGUAUCUUACCAGAAAGGGACGGCUAACUACGUG